AUACCUUUCUCGGCCUUUUGGCUAAGAUCAAGUAUAGUAUCUGUUGUGUCCACAACGAUAUUAAAUUUAUUUUUUAUGAGGGAGGGUCCACCACACUAGCUUGCUAGUGGGGCCUUCACGUGUCGCCUGGGCGUUGCACUAUUGCCCAGCAAGAUCCACCAAAA
rnacentral:snRNA from 2 species